UGAAGCCCAGAACGAGAUGGGACGUAGUAACUCCACCUUACGUCUGAUUACUUCUUCAGGAAAAGGAGGCUGCACAUGGUCAACAACAACAACUGUUUUUGCAUCCAUAUCUGCUGUUUUCCUGCUGAUCAUCAUCCUCGCUGUCCUCUACAUCAGAUCCCACUGACCAACGCUGGACACCAGGAGGAAGAGGAGAAAAUGGAGAUGGUGCCGUCCACAUGUAUCCACUUUGAUGAAGGCAGCGAGUGACAAUCUUUACUGAAUAUGGAUCCGUCUCUGCUUUUAUCAUCACUGUUUUAUUGCUGUUUAAACGUGUUAAUGAUU